CAAAUACUCCCUCUGUCCGGAAAUACUUGUCAUCAAAAUGGAUAAAAGGAAAUGUAUCUAGACGUAUUUUAGUUUUAGAUACAUCUCUUUUUAUCCAUUUUGAUGACAAGUAUUUUUGGACGGAGGGUGUAGAAA
rnacentral:pre_miRNA from 1 species